GACGAACGCUGGCGGCGUGCUUAACACAUGCAAGUCGAACGGAAAGGCCCUGCUUUUGUGGGGUGCUCGAGUGGCGAACGGGUGAGUAACACGUGAGUAACCUGCCCUUGAAUUUGGGAUAACUUCAGGAAACUGGGGCUAAUACCGGAUAGGAGCUCCUGCUGCAUGGUGGGGGUUGGAAAGUUUCGGCGGUUGGGGAUGGACUCGCGGCUUAUCCGCUUGUUGGUGGGGUAGUGGCUUACCAAGGCUUUGACGGGUAGCCGGCCUGAGCGGGUGACCGGCCACAGUGGGACUGCGAUACGGCCCAGACUCCUACGGGAGGCAGCAGUGGGGAAUAUUGCACAAUGGGCGGAAGCCUGAUGCAGCCACGCCGCGUGCGGGAUGACGGCCUUCGGGUUGUAAACCGCUUUCGCCUGUGACGAAGCGUGAGUGACGGUAAUGGGUAAGAAAGCACCGGCUAACUACGUG
rnacentral:rRNA from 1 species